UACGAAGGGGGCUAGCGUUGUUCGGAUUUACUGGGCGUAAAGCGCACGUAGGCGGAUCGUUAAGUCGGGGGUGAAAUCCUGGAGCUCAACUCCAGAACUGCCUUCGAUACUGGCGAUCUUGAGUCCGGAAGAGGCGAGUGGAAUUCCUGGUGUAGCGGUGGAAUGCGCAGAUAUCAGGAGGAACACCAAUAGCGAAGGCAGCUCGCUGGGACGUACUGACACUGAGGCGCGAAAGCGUGGGGAGCGAACAGG
rnacentral:rRNA from 1 species